rnacentral:rRNA from 1 species
AUGCAAGUCGAGGGGCAGCAUGGUCUUAGCUUGCUAAGGCCGAUGGCGACCGGCGCACGGGUGAGUAACACGUAUCCAACCUGCCGUCUACUCUUGGACAGCCUUCUGAAAGGAAGAUUAAUACAAGAUGGCAUCAUGAGUUCACAUGUUCACAUGAUUAAAGGUAUUCCGGUAGACGAUGGGGAUGCGUUCCAUUAGAUAGUAGGCGGGGUAACGGCCCACCUAGUCUUCGAUGGAUAGGGGUUCUGAGAGGAAGGUCCCCCACAUUGGAACUGAGACACGGUUCAAACUCCUACGGGAGGCAGCAGUGAGGAAUAUUGGUCAAUGGGCGAGAGCCUGAACCAGCCAAGUAGCGUGAAGGAUGACUGCCCUAUGGGUUGUAAACUUCUUUUAUAAAGGAAUAAAGUCGGGUAUGCAUACCCGUUUGCAUGUACUUUAUGAAUAAGGAUCGGCUAACUCCGUGCCAGCAGCCGCGGUAAUACGGAGGAUCCGAGCGUUAUCCGGAUUUAUUGGGUUUAAAGGGAGCGUAGAUGGAUGUUUAAGUCAGUUGUGAAAGUUUGCGGCUCAACCGUAAAAUUGCAGUUGAUACUGGAUAUCUUGAGUGCAGUUGAGGCAGGCGGAAUUCGUGGUGUAGCGGUGAAAUGCUUAGAUAUCACGAAGAACUCCGAUUGCGAAGGCAGCCUGCUAAGCUGCAACUGACAUUGA